rnacentral:sRNA from 1 species
UAUGAAGGUAUUUUUGGUAUUUGCACUGCAUGUGGGCCAAUGCCAUGCAUAUACACGCAAAUCAUCAGGUGUGUCCACUCGAUACACUCACACGCACACACGGGCACAGACAGAACGCAAAAAGCUGAAUAGCCAAGCUUGUGUGUGCUUAGUUUGGCUUGCGUGUGUGUUUAACUAUGCAUGUUUUUAUGUACAUAUCUGGUGCUGCUGCUGUCAAGCACAAUUUAAAUAUUGACGACCUUCGGGGACAUGAUGCUGCCUUCAAGGCUACAGC